GAUUAACGCUGGCGGCGUGCAUAACACAUGCAAGUCGAACGAUGAAACUCAUUAGAUUUCUUCGGAAUGAAAAUGAAUGGAUUAGUGGCGAACGGGUGAGUAACGCGUGAGUAACCUGCCUUACACAAGGGGAUAGCCUCUGGAAACGGAGAAUAAUACCCUAUGAAACCAGACAAUCGCAUGAUAAUCUGGUCAAAAUGUUUAGUGGUGUAAGAUGGACUUGCGUCUGAUUAGCUAGUUGGUGAGAUAAAAGCUCACCAAGGCAACGAUCAGUAGCCGGCUUGAGAGAGUGUACGGCCACAUUGGGACUGAGACACGGCCCAGACGCCUACGGGAGGCAGCAGUGGGGAAUUUUGCACAAUGGGGGAAACCCUGAUGCAGCGACGCCGCGUGAUUUAGAAGGCCUUCGGGUUGUAAAAAUCUUUUGUAUAGGAAGAAAAUGACAGUACUAUACGAAUAAGGUCCGGCUAAUUACGUG
rnacentral:rRNA from 1 species